GACGAACGCUGGCGGCGUGCCUAAUACAUGCAAGUCGAACGCUUUGAUUUUCACCGGAGCUUGCUCCACCGAAAAUCAAAGAGUGGCGGACGGGUGAGUAACACGUGGGCAACCUGCCCAACAGAGGGGGAUAACACUUGGAAACAGGUGCUAAUACCGCAUAAUUUGUUUUUCCGCAUGGAAGAAUAAUAAAAGACGCUUCGGUGUCACUGUUGGAUGGGCCCGCGCUGCAUUAGUUAGUUGGUGGGGUAACGGCCUACCAAGACCAUGAUGCAUAGCCGACCUGAGAGGGUGAUCGGCCACACUGGGACUGAGACACGGCCCAGACUCCUACGGGAGGCAGCAGUAGGGAAUCUUCGGCAAUGGACGAAAGUCUGACCGAGCAACGCCGCGUGAGUGAAGAAGGUUUUCGGAUCGUAAAACUCUGUUGUUAGAGAAGAACAAGUGAGAGAGUUACUGUUCUCACCUUGACGGUAUCUAACCAGAAAGCCACGGCUAACUACGUGCCAGCAGCCGCGGUAAUACGUAGGUGGCAAGCGUUGUCCGGAUUUAUUGGGCGUAAAGCGAGCGCAGGCGGUUUCUUAAGUCUGAUGUGAGAGCCCUCGGCUCAACCGAGGAAGGUCAUUGGAAACUGGGGAACUUGAGUGCAGAAGAGGAGAGUGGAAUUCCAUGUGUAGCGGUGAAAUGCGUAGAUAUAUGGAGGAACACCAGUGGCGAAGGCGACUCUCUGGUCUGUAACUGACGCUGAGGCUCGAAAGCGUGGGGAGCAAACAGG
rnacentral:rRNA from 1 species